UACGGAGGGAGCUAGCGUUGUUCGGAAUUACUGGGCGUAAAGCGCACGUAGGCGGCUUUGUAAGUUAGAGGUGAAAGCCCGGGGCUCAACUCCGGAACUGCCUUUAAGACUGCAUCGCUUGAAUCCAGGAGAGUUGAGUGGAAUUCCGAGUGUAGAGGUGAAAAUUCGUAGAUAUUCGGAAGAACACCAGUGGCGAAGGCGGCUCACUGGACUGGUAUUGACGCUGAGGUGCGAAAGCGUGGGGAGCAAACAGG
rnacentral:rRNA from 1 species